UACGAAGGGGGCUAGCGUUGCUCGGAUUGACUGGGCGUAAAGGGCGCGUAGGCGGUUCGUACAGUCAGACGUGAAAUUCCUGGGCUCAACCUGGGGGCUGCGUUUGAUACGUGCGGACUUGAGUGCGGAAGAGGGUCGUGGAAUUCCCAGUGUAGAGGUGAAAUGCGCAGAUAUCAGGAGGAACACCGGUGGCGAAGGCGGUUCUCUGGGCCUGUACUGACGCUGAGGAGCGAAAGCGUGGGGAGCGAACAGG
rnacentral:rRNA from 1 species